CAGCAGCCACGGUAAUACGGAGGGUGCAAGCGUUAAUCGGAAUUACUGGGCGUAAAGCGCACGCAGGCGGUCUGACAAGUCAGAUGUGAAAUCCCCGGGCUUAACCUGGGAACUGCAUUUGAAACUGUCAGGCUGGAGUCUUGUAGAGGGGGGUAGAAUUCCAGGUGUAGCGGUGAAAUGCGUAGAGAUCUGGAGGAAUACCGGUGGCGAAGGCGGCCCCCUGGACAAAGACUGACGCUCAGGUGCGAAAGCGUGGGGAGCAAACAGGAUUAGAUACCCGGGUAGUCCCUGUCUCUUAGAA
rnacentral:rRNA from 1 species